rnacentral:lncRNA from 1 species
UGCGGUGGGGGGGAUUCGAACCCGUGACCGGAGGGGGGGGGGGGGGCGCCGCCAUGUUGAGAAGGGCAGGGAGUGCAGAGCACGUCCGCCAUGUUGUGAGAGUUCUGCCACCAUCUUGGGGAGGGGGCGGCUUCUCCGCCGCCAUGUUGUGAGGGCUGUGCUCAGGGGGCGUGGUCAGAGGCGGAACGGGCGUGGCCCCGGGGGCGUGGCCGCCGCCGCCAUGAAGCCGCCCGAGGCCGCGUCGCCGCCUCCGCCGCCUGGGGGGAUCCUGCGGCGGGGGGGCCGCGGGGGGGGCACCCGGCAGGUCAGCGCGAGUUGGGGGUCGGGACGCUCCAAAACUAGGGGGGGGACGCACACAUGGGGCCCCCCCUCUAAUUCCCGUCUCCCCCCCCUCGCAGGUGCGCUUCGAACUGAGCCCCGCGGUGCAUGCUGGGGAGGAGGAGGAAGGGGGGGCCGCGCCCCCCCCGCCGCUGGGGACCCCCACCCUGCACAGCAGCCUGGGGGGGGCGACGGGGGGGGCGUCCCGGGAGCCCUUCGACGCCCCCCGGGCGGCCGCUGCCCUCCUGGGCUGCUCCUUCGCCGCCCGGUGCGCCGUGGGGGGGGCAGCGGCCGGAGCCAUGAACGUGCCCCCGGCCCAGCGGCUCUACCGGGGCCUGGUCAGUCUGGCCGUGCCCCCCCCGCCGGAGCCGCGCAGGGGGGUCCUGCCCCCCCCCGCGCCUCCCCCCAAGGUGAGUGAGACCCCACACCCUCCUCCAGCCCCCCUUAUGGGCCCCACCACCACCCNNNNNNNNNNNNNNNNNNNNNNNNNNNNNNNNNNNNNNCCCCCCCCCCCCCCCCCCCCCCCCCCGCCAGGUUCCCGGCCCCGAGGUGGGGGCGCUGGUGGGCGGGGCCGGGCGGGGGCGCGGGGAUCCCUGGCUGCCCCCCCCCGCCCCCCCCGAGAACCCCCGGCCCCUCCCCCGCCCCCCCAGCACCACCUUCCUCAUGUACCGCAAGCUGCAGCAGUGGGGGGGGGCCUGAGGGGGCAACUCAUCCCUCCCCCCAAUAAAUCCUCAUUUUCAACCUCUGUGGGGAACUGAGUUGGGGGUGUGGGUGGGUCUCACGUGGGAGCGUGUCCCCUUGCCCCCCUUCUUUAACCCCUGGGGAUGUCUCCGAGUCCCCCCCGGGUGUGGACUACGACUCCCAGCAGGCCUCGCGUGCGGCUGCCGCCCUGCCAU